UUGCGAACAAAACCCCGUUUAUWUCCAGCCCCGGAGUAUGGGUGACCCASAAGGCGUAGGCUCUCUARCUCGUUGCUGCARCACCCGGUUGUUGGGUUCGUGCACUUCUGCACGCGCCCUGCACCCUGUGUUGCCCACGAARCUCCAGGUGGGGCGUGGCGUCGGGGCUCUCCGCGUCGUGUUCCGCUUUAGCCCUGUAUAACCUGUUUGCUUACGGAAGCGCUAUCCAUACGUCGUGUCCUUUGGCUGUGGCCGGCUCCGCUUGGGCGUGAGCUCGGCUGUUGACUUCUCCGCGCGUCCCCUACAGCAGCGACGGGCUC
rnacentral:misc_RNA from 1 species